AGCGUACACGGUGGAUGCCCUGGCAGUCAGAGGCGAUGAAGGACGUGCUAAUCUGCGAUAAGCGUCGGUAAGGUGAUAUGAACCGUUAUAACCGGCGAUUUCCGAAUGGGGAAACCCAGUGUGUUUCGACACACUAUCAUUAACUGAAUCCAUAGGUUAAUGAGGCGAACCGGGGGAACUGAAACAUCUAAGUACCCCGAGGAAAAGAAAUCAACCGAGAUUCCCCCAGUAGCGGCGAGCGAACGGGGAGCAGCCCAGAGCCUGAAUCAGUGUGUGUGUUAGUGGAAGCGUCUGGAAAGGCGCGCGAUACAGGGUGACAGCCCCGUACACAAAAAUGCACAUGCUGUGAGCUCGAUGAGUAGGGCGGGACACGUGGUAUCCUGUCUGAAUAUGGGGGGACCAUCCUCCAAGGCUAAAUACUCCUGACUGACCGAUAGUGAACCAGUACCGUGAGGGAAAGGCGAAAAGAACCCCGGCGAGGGGAGUGAAAAAGAACCUGAAACCGUGUACGUACAAGCAGUGGGAGCACCCUUUUGGGUGUGACUGCGUACCUUUUGUAUAAUGGGUCAGCGACUUAUAUUCUGUAGCAAGGUUAACCGAAUAGGGGAGCCGAAGGGAAACCGAGUCUUAACUGGGCGUUAAGUUGCAGGGUAUAGACCCGAAACCCGGUGAUCUAGCCAUGGGCAGGUUGAAGGUUGGGUAACACUAACUGGAGGACCGAACCGACUAAUGUUGAAAAAUUAGCGGAUGACUUGUGGCUGGGGGUGAAAGGCCAAUCAAACCGGGAGAUAGCUGGUUCUCCCCGAAAGCUAUUUAGGUAGCGCCUCGUGAAUUCAUCUCCGGGGGUAGAGCACUGUUUCGGCAAGGGGGUCAUCCCGACUUACCAACCCGAUGCAAACUGCGAAUACCGGAGAAUGUUAUCACGGGAGACACACGGCGGGUGCUAACGUCCGUCGUGAAGAGGGAAACAACCCAGACCGCCAGCUAAGGUCCCAAAGUCAUGGUUAAGUGGGAAACGAUGUGGGAAGGCCCAGACAGCCAGGAUGUUGGCUUAGAAGCAGCCAUCAUUUAAAGAAAGCGUAAUAGCUCACUGGUCGAGUCGGCCUGCGCGGAAGAUGUAACGGGGCUAAACCAUGCACCGAAGCUGCGGCAGCGACGCUUAUGCGUUGUUGGGUAGGGGAGCGUUCUGUAAGCCUGUGAAGGUGUACUGUGAGGUAUGCUGGAGGUAUCAGAAGUGCGAAUGCUGACAUAAGUAACGAUAAAGCGGGUGAAAAGCCCGCUCGCCGGAAGACCAAGGGUUCCUGUCCAACGUUAAUCGGGGCAGGGUGAGUCGACCCCUAAGGCGAGGCCGAAAGGCGUAGUCGAUGGGAAACAGGUUAAUAUUCCUGUACUUGGUGUUACUGCGAAGGGGGGACGGAGAAGGCUAUGUUGGCCGGGCGACGGUUGUCCCGGUUUAAGCGUGUAGGCUGGUUUUCCAGGCAAAUCCGGAAAAUCAAGGCUGAGGCGUGAUGACGAGGCACUACGGUGCUGAAGCAACAAAUGCCCUGCUUCCAGGAAAAGCCUCUAAGCAUCAGGUAACAUCAAAUCGUACCCCAAACCGACACAGGUGGUCAGGUAGAGAAUACCAAGGCGCUUGAGAGAACUCGGGUGAAGGAACUAGGCAAAAUGGUGCCGUAACUUCGGGAGAAGGCACGCUGAUAUGUAGGUGAAGCGACUUGCUCGUGGAGCUGAAAUCAGUCGAAGAUACCAGCUGGCUGCAACUGUUUAUUAAAAACACAGCACUGUGCAAACACGAAAGUGGACGUAUACGGUGUGACGCCUGCCCGGUGCCGGAAGGUUAAUUGAUGGGGUUAGCGGUAACGCGAAGCUCUUGAUCGAAGCCCCGGUAAACGGCGGCCGUAACUAUAACGGUCCUAAGGUAGCGAAAUUCCUUGUCGGGUAAGUUCCGACCUGCACGAAUGGCGUAAUGAUGGCCAGGCUGUCUCCACCCGAGACUCAGUGAAAUUGAACUCGCUGUGAAGAUGCAGUGUACCCGCGGCAAGACGGAAAGACCCCGUGAACCUUUACUAUAGCUUGACACUGAACAUUGAGCCUUGAUGUGUAGGAUAGGUGGGAGGCUUUGAAGUGUGGACGCCAGUCUGCAUGGAGCCGACCUUGAAAUACCACCCUUUAAUGUUUGAUGUUCUAACGUUGGCCCCUGAUCGGGGUUGCGGACAGUGUCUGGUGGGUAGUUUGACUGGGGCGGUCUCCUCCUAAAGAGUAACGGAGGAGCACGAAGGUUGGCUAAUCCUGGUCGGACAUCAGGAGGUUAGUGCAAUGGCAUAAGCCAGCUUGACUGCGAGCGUGACGGCGCGAGCAGGUGCGAAAGCAGGUCAUAGUGAUCCGGUGGUUCUGAAUGGAAGGGCCAUCGCUCAACGGAUAAAAGGUACUCCGGGGAUAACAGGCUGAUACCGCCCAAGAGUUCAUAUCGACGGCGGUGUUUGGCACCUCGAUGUCGGCUCAUCACAUCCUGGGGCUGAAGUAGGUCCCAAGGGUAUGGCUGUUCGCCAUUUAAAGUGGUACGCGAGCUGGGUUUAGAACGUCGUGAGACAGUUCGGUCCCUAUCUGCCGUGGGCGCUGGAGAACUGAGGGGGGCUGCUCCUAGUACGAGAGGACCGGAGUGGACGCAUCACUGGUGUUCGGGUUGUCAUGCCAAUGGCACUGCCCGGUAGCUAAAUGCGGAAGAGAUAAGUGCUGAAAGCAUCUAAGCACGAAACUUGCCCCGAGAUGAGUUCU
rnacentral:rRNA from 1 species